rnacentral:lncRNA from 1 species
AUUUGUAGCAAGCAUGGUAACAAGCAUUCGUUGCUACACUUCUGUAAUUACAGACCACAAUUCCUACCAGAACUUUAAUAGCCUCCGAGCCGCCUGAUCCCCCGAGCUUGCAUGAACGGUUCACUGCAGCUGUAAUCAGUCUGCUCCUGUGAUUCUGCACCCAAACACCGCCCACCCGCGUCUCAUUGUAUCUGAGGAUCUGAUGAGUGUGAGACGCAGUGUAGAGCAACAGCAGCUUCCUGCCAACACAGAGAUAUGUAUGGCUCCUGGACUGAGGGCUUUAACUCAGGGAAUCACUGCUUGGAUGUUGAGGUAGGGGACAGUUAUGAAUGGUCACUAGGUGUUAUACAAGAGUCGGUCCAGAGGAAGGAAGCAGUUAGGAGCAGUAGUGGUCCCUGGGUAAAAUCCCUGGGGAAGCCAAGCCCCUCCCCCUAAACGCCAUAUUACAACCUAUAUGUUGUGAUAAUUGUGUUGUUUGCGCUAUAAACUGUUAAUUCAUAUGUCUUGACACCGUGAUAUAUAGGUCUAAAGGCCGAGACAAUAAGAACACACAGUGGCAGAAUAAAUUCAACCAUAACUUUGUUUUAUCACAAAACCGGACAGCAAACUCUGUCCAGUGAAUUUCACUUCGCAUAUUGCAGUUACAUGAACUACAGCAUGGUCAAGCAAGGUAAUGUUUACAACAUUUUCGGACCACUGACCAACUAUUGAUUUAGAACCACAGAGAGUUACCGCAAGUCACAAAGAAAACAGGAGCUGUCUCCACUAUUCCAGCACCAUUUCAAUUUCAACA